CCUACGGGAGGCAGCAGUGAGGAAUAUUGGUCAAUGGGCGCGAGCCUGAACCAGCCAAGUCGCGUGAGGGAAGACGGCCCUACGGGUUGUAAACCUCUUUUGCCGGGGAGCAACGGGCGCCACGUGUGGCGCCACUGAUAGUCCCCGGAGACAAAGCAUCGGCUAACUCCGUGCCAGCAGCCGCGGUAAUACGGAGGAUGCGAGCGUUCUCCGGAUUUAUUGGGUUUAAAGGGUGCGUAGGCGGAGCGUUAAGUCAGGGGUCAAAUUGAGGGGCUCAACCCCUUCCCGCCAUUGAGACUGGCGCGCUUGAGUGGAAGAGAAGUAUGCGGAAUGCGUGGUGUAGCGGUGAAAUGCAUAGAUAUCACGCAGAACCCCGAUUGCGAAGGCAGCAUGCCGGAUUCCGACUGACGCUGAAGCACGAAAGCGUGGGGAUCGAACAGGAUUAGAUACCCCGGUAGUC
rnacentral:rRNA from 1 species